CAAUACCAGUCCACCCCGACCCACCUCUCUUUCUCACAUUUCAAUCCCAAAACCAGCCCAACAUUCCACUCCAGCACCCCCAGCGAACUCCAUAUGCCUUUGCCAGGAUUCUCUCCCUUACCUUAUCUGAUUUAAAACAUCAACAGCAUCGACCACAACAACGUCCACAAUGAUUUACACCAACAACGGCCAUAAACAAACACCGUAUCAACUCCAACAACACUUCAACGACAACAACCCUGUAGUCAAACUAGCUCUUUCCAUUUUUUUACCCUUUUACCCCUCCCGUAUAGCAAAAAUGGCUAAGAAUUUCAUAAUCUUUCCCCUUUCUCAGAACAUGUUCAUCCAUUUUUGGGUAAGGAUAUAAUUCUUCUUUGUCUCACCAUGGACUUGAAUUUCUCAAAAAAAUAGUUUCAAAUUCAAAUUUGAAGUCCAUAUUUUUUAAAUUUGAAACCCCAAUUCUUUUCCCUAUAAAUAAACAUUAGAAGUUAUAGGUGAAGGAGAGGAUUUUCUAGGGGAAAAAUUUGAGGGUUUUGGAGGUGCGCACCUCUAACCCUGCGUAACCUAGAAUAUUUCAGAACAUUCUCAAAGUCUGUUCCAAAUCGUUGGAAUUCUAUUAAAGAAUUGAAAAUCCGGUGGUGGAAGUUGCAACGUGAUAAGCUCGUUUGUUUCGUUUGCUGCCUGGAGAAAGCCGUUGAGUCGAGCCUCAUUAAAGUCCAAAAGUAAACUGAUAUACACAGGAUAGCACCAGUAUACAAGCUGGUAUACGCUGAUAUACAACAUGUAUACACAGAAAACAGUAGCUGCACAUUAUCACACAAUUUAUGAUGAAAGUGGAGGGGAAAUAAGCAGUCUUCGACGCUGAUAUACAUUGAAAAAAAGUUGGGAGACUUAAGCUGUUGAUAUACAACUGGUAUACACUUCACAAAAUGGAACCAAAGUCCGUAAUUUAAAGCCCAAAAAAAGAAGCAGCUUUGUUAAUGGGCCACUAAGGGACCAGUUUCAAUUCUUGUAUUAUUUUUUUAGCUUGUAUUUCUUAUUUGUAUUAACUAGCUUUUUAAUCAAUUAACCUAGACAAAUUCCCUAAA